GUAAUAGCUCACUGGUCGAGUCGGCCUGCGCGGAAGAUGUAACGGGGCUAAACCAUGCACCGAAGCUGCGGCAGCGACGCUGAUGCGUUGUUGGGUAGGGGAGCGUUCUGUAAGCCUGCGAAGGUGUACUGUGAGGUAUGCUGGAGGUAUCAGAAGUGCGAAUGCUGACAUAAGUAACGAUAAAGCGGGUGAAAAGCCCGCUCGCCGGAAGACCAAGGGUUCCUGUCCAACGUUAAUCGGGGCAGG
rnacentral:rRNA from 1 species